rnacentral:rRNA from 1 species
GAGUUUGAUUCUGGCUCAGGAUGAACGCUAGCGGCAGGCCUAACACAUGCAAGUCGAGGGGUAGGGUGCUUCGGCACUUGAGACCGGCGCACGGGUGCGUAACACGUGUACAAUCUACCUUUUGCUAAGGGAUAGCCCGAAGAAAUUUGGAUUAAUACCUUAUAGUAUUGUUUGGUGGCAUCACUAAAUAAUUAAAGCUCUGGUGGCAAAAGAUGAGUACGCGUUCCAUUAGCUAGUUGGUGUGGUAACGGCAUACCAAGGCUACGAUGGGUAGGGGUCCUGAGAGGGAGGUCCCCCACACUGGUACUGAGACACGGACCAGACUCCUACGGGAGGCAGCAGUGAGGAAUAUUGGACAAUGGUCGGAAGACUGAUCCAGCCAUGCCGCGUGCAGGAUGACGGCCUUAUGGGUUGUAAACUGCUUUUAUACAGGAAGAAUAAGGUCUACGUGUAGAUUGAUGACGGUACUGAUGAAUAAGCUCGCA